UACCACAGCCAUAUCACCCUGCAGCCCAAGACUGGUUGCCCACUGAAGCUAAAGCGGGGUUGAGCCUGGUCAGUACCUGGAUGGGAGACCUCUUGGGAAAACUAGGUUGCUGCUGGAA
rnacentral:rRNA from 1 species